AUAAUUCAUUUCUCCUCCUCCUCCUCCUCCUCCUCCUGCUUUCUCCCUCUCUUAGCUUCCUUCUCCCACCAUGACUUCAAAAGACUGCGGCAACCAUAGGCACAAGCAUCAUAAGCUGAGGCGAUGCUUCGCCGGAUUGCUUAUCUUCUUCUUCAUCGUCCUCCUCGUCGUACUCCUGGUGUGGGCAAUCCUCCAGCCCAAGGACCCACGCUUCGUCCUCCAAGACGCCACCAUCUACGCCCUCAACGUCUCCACCCCGAAUAUCCUCACCGUCAACAUCCAAGUCACCAUCACCACCCGCAACCCCAACGACAAGAUCGGCAUCUACUAUGAGAAACUCGACACCUACGCCACCUACCGCGGCCAGCAGAUUACCCUCGCGUACCUCAUCCCCCCCACCUACCAGGGCCACAAGGAGAUCAUCACCUGGUCACCUUUUCUCUCCGGCACGGCCGUACCCGUGGCUCCCUACAACGCCAUUGCACUGAAUCAGGACCAGUCGUAUGGCGCCCUCACCUUGAUCAUCAAGAUUGAUGGACGGGUGAAAUGGAAAGUUGGUUCCUUCACAUCAGGCCGUUAUCAUCUUAACGUCAAGUGUGUGGCGCCUAUUACUUUCGGUGCCAGGAGCAGCGGUGUUGUUAUCGGUAACGCCGUUAAGUACCAGAUGGCUUCCACUUGCAGCGUCAGCGUUUGAGCUUCUUCACGCCGUUAGUAUUAUUUCUCUCCCUUUGUCCUCUUCUUUUAAUUCUGUUUCUCUCCCUUGAGUCUCUAGUCAUACGUCUUUUGAAUUGUACAUUUUGCUAAGAAUAAAAGCGGAAAAAAAUUGGAAAGCAAAAUUGCAAUGUUAUGAAAAUUGUAUAACCGUGCUAUUAUAAGAUUAUGAUUUGUGCAAUAAUUAUUUCCAAGGGGUGGAGGGUGUGCUGUCCCUUUCUAUCAUUUUUCUAUGGUUGCUUCCUUCAAGAAAAUGAAAAUUAAAAGGAUGGGGGCACCUGUUUUAUUUUAGAGUGACUGGUUGAUGUGAUCCAUAAUUUUAUAUGUAUUUUGUCUUUCGUUUUUCGCAAAAUAGAAAGUCCAAUUCAUGAACACACCUAAGUUAAUUAGGUGUUAUCUUCAAAGUGGAUAGCAAGAAAAACGGUCACAUGGGGCUAUUAAAUCUCUUUUUCGCAAUGGGAGGAGAUGGUAAAAGUUUCCAAUAUCUCAAUAUAGUAGAAACCCAAGCCUCACCCAUUCAACACAAGAAUUUUUUUCUUUGUUUUAGAGAGAGAGAGAGAGAGAGAGAGAGAGAGAAUACCCUUAAAAGUAAUGUGAAGGUCGUAGCUGGUGUAUGGGUGUUGCAAUCUUGGGCAAAAGGCAUGAGUAGUGAGUUGUGGGUGUUGGGUCUUCAACAGUUCAACACUCGUAUGGCUUUGGUGGCUGUCCUUUUCGCUUCUCACCUGCCCUACCUACUAAUAAUAAUUGCUUUGUUAGAAAUAGACUUUUUUUUUUCUAAAUGUCUACGAUCGACGCUCCUGCUUUUCUUUCCCCAGUGUCUUUUAGAAGAUGAUGUCGGUCGAAGAUCCCACGUGUAAGAAAAUUUAAGUCCACCCAGUGCAUCAAUCUUCAACAUAAUCUCAUAUUGCCCAUCUAUUUUUGUCUGGGAGAAUCAUGUAUCAUAUAUUCAUAUGCACUUCCAUAUCCAUGCUUAUACCCACCCCACUCACUCCUUUUUGGACCUGUGCUAGCUCGACCAGCAAAACAUUGGGCUUUAAGUGCUUAUAUUAUGGGCUGGGCUAGGCAGUUUCUGCAACUUCAAAGCCCAUGCACUGAAAUAUUGUAUAUAUUAACUUCCACAAGUAAUGAAUUGAUAAAAUCUCUUACUCAAAAGGCCACAGCAACAGCAUUCACCCAUAAUAGAUGAGACAAAAACAAAUUUUGGUUUCAAUUUUGAAAUAUUGUGAAUUUAUUUUAGAUUAAUUUUUUGUCUAAAUUUUUUUAUGAAAUUUAAUAUCUGAAUUUGAUGAGUUAUGAGACAAAAAUAGUGAUCAUUUGUAGUAAAGUGUUGUUUCAAUUUUGGAAUAGUGUGAUUUUAUUUUAGAUUAGUCUCUUAUUCAAAUGAAAGUGAUUUUAAUAUUGUUCAUCUUCUUUUUUAGUUACAAUUUAUGAGAAAAUUUAAUAUCUAAAUUUUCUUGAGAAAAAUGAUAGAAAUUACGUUUUUAAAAUUUUUAUUUUAUUUUUAAGAUAAAAGCUAUCUAAAAUUUUUUUAAAUGAAUUUUAUUUUAUUUUAUGUAAGAAAUUACGUUUUAAGUAUUAUAAUAAAAUUAAAUUUUGAAAAGAUAAAAACGAAAAGAGAAGAAGUGAUACAAGUUAAAAAAAAAAAAAAAAGGAUCUCUAACUUCCUUGUAAUUUUUUUUUAUUAAAAAGAAAACAAAUCUUAAAUAAAUUUGUUAUAUUUUUAUAACCAGACCUACAGGUUGGACCCAAAAGGCCUAAGGUCCAUGAACUGGAGUCAGUUUGGGAGCUUGCAUUAUUAACUCCCAAAGAUCGUCCAGAACUAGGCCAGACUAGGUAUAGUGGAGCACUGCAUGAGCAAGCUGGGCCUCUCUGCCAAAUAUGAAAGGGUACGCCAGACUUCAGCAAUAUGUUUACCCGAUCUCAAGAUUGGCCCAAAAGUAGGCCCAUUCCUACAUAGUCCAUGGUCACGAUAUAUAUAUAUAUAUAUAUAUAUAUAUAUAUAUAUAUAUAUAAAGGCUGUUCCACAUUUGCGUUAAACAACACCGGUCAAGGGCCAAGGCACCAAACAUUGUUGGACCGAUCAAGGGCAGACACGCUUGUAUAGGAGUUUUGACCCAAAAUAGUAUAUUUAAAAAAAAAUAAAUUCAUAAAAUAAACUUGUUUCCAAAAUAAAGCUCGAUCUACAUUUGUGUUACAUAAACUGUCAUAUCAUAAAACCAUAGUCGGUAAUGAUGAUUUUAUUUUUUAAAAACGGUUAGAAACUGUAGUCACCAACCAUAAUUUUAAUUUUAAAUUUAAAGUCGCUACGAUUUUGAAUUCUUUUAAAAUUUGUCAAAAACGUAGUUACCAAUUGCGAUUUUAACUUUAUAUAUAUAAAUUUAAUUUUUUAAAUAAACAUAUUAUAUUAUUUUGAUUUUAAAUAAACUUAUUUCAUUAUUUAAAAAAUAAUAAUAUAUGAGAUUAAAUAAUUGAUAUUUUUAUUUGAUAUAAAUAUAUAUAUAUAUAUAUAUAUAUAUAUUAAUUUUAUUAAAACAAUAGGCACUAUAUUUAAUAUAAAUAUAUUUAGUUAAUUAUAUUUAUUUAAAACAAAUAAAUUGUGAAAGCUUAUUAAAAAAACAAAUAAUAUAAAUUAUUAUAUUAAUUAGUAAUUUUUUAUAUACUAUAUAUAAAUGGCAUAUAAUAUCACACGUAUAUAAGUUCAAUUUAAGUUUAAAAUUUAUAGUUCAUAAUAUUAUAUUGAUAUGAUAAUAAUUUACUUAUAUAUUUAAAUAAAAAUAUGAUAAAUUUUAAAUUUAAAUUAAACUUUUAUAUAUAGGUGAUAUUAUAUACCACUUACAUAUAAUACAUAAAAAAUUAUUAAUUAAUAUAAUAAUUUAUAUAUAUAUUUUUUCUAAAUAGUCUUUCAUAAUUUAUUUAUUUUAAAUAAAUAUAAUUUAUUAUAUUUCAUUUAUAUUAAAUAUAAUGCUAAUUUUUUUAAUAAAAUUAAAAAAAAAAUAUUUUUAUAUCAAAUUAAAAAUAUCAAUUAUUUAAUUUUAUAUAUUAUUAUUAUUUAAAUAAUAAGAUAAAUUUAUUUAAAAUCAAAAUAAUAUAAUAUUUUUAUUUUAAGAAAAUUAAAAUUAAAACGUGGUCCGUGAUUAUGGUUUCUAUUUUAAAAAAAUAAAAUCAUAAUCACCUAUUAUCAGCCAAUUUUAGAUGGUAACCUGAAAGGCCCAUUACCAGGAUUUGUGCGCCAUUGCGACGCGUGUGGCGCGCCUACCGAGUUUGACUGAUAAGCCACGAGAAAUGUUAGGAAUCUUCUAAUUUGUCCUCUACGGUUCAUGGCAUCUUUCAUGUGAGAACGAAAGCUACGAAGUUUCCUGGGCAACUUCCCAUCCACAAAAAUUGCGUUCAAGAUUAUCAUGAACUCCUUCCACCUCACCCACCCCUUUUUUAAUUCGACCCCAUUUUCCAAUUUUACGUGCCAUGACUUUAUCAUACCUUUAAUCAAUCAUAUUUUAAGAAAUGCUGCAUUGUUUUUUCAAGUUAAAUGAUCUCACGUGUAGACAAACUGAUAAAAAGGCAAUUAGAUUACGCAAGACUUAUGCGUUAACUGUUUCAUAAGUAAAAGAAUUUGGCUACCCACCCGGCUUUGACAAUGAUUGGUUUUGCCUAUUUUCUAUCUUUCCUUUUGCAUUCUAAUUUCCGUGAGCUUCCAUGGAUCUUUUUAUCCAACUUCAAAAUGAGAAAUGGGUUUAAUCAUAUAUAGGGUAGAGGAAAAGUGGAAAAACAUUGUAGACUGUAGAGUUGCUCUCAAAGUUUGUUACUUCCUGUGUGUUCCUAUGACUUUCAUUAAAGAAUAGGAUUUACUAUUUGCCCAGUUAAAGUCUCAUGACAUCACUUUGAAUUCUUACCAGAAUUAUUGGAAGAAAAUGUCUUAAUAAAUAAAAAAAUAAAAAAACCUACUAAAAAUAUCUAAUGGAAACAAAGUAAAGCGUUAAAUAAAUCUACUAAAUUAACAUUUGAAUUCUUUUCUAAACAUUAAUCUCAUUCCAAGUGCCUUUAAUUUUAAUACUUUUAAAUAAUUUCCUUUAAUUUAUAUAAUAUAUGUAAUAUUAUCUUUAUAUAAUAUUAAUUACAUUAUCCUUUAAUUCUAAAAAUGCAUUUAAUAAUGAUGGUCCGGAGUUUUUCUAAUUUUUUUAAUACGUAAAACAAAAUUUAUUUUAGAAAUAUUAUAAACAAUUUUUUAGAAUAGUUGUGAAAUGCACUUUAAAAUACAUUGAAUUAUGAAUUUUAAUUAUAUAUUUUAUGAUGCUUGAUGAUUUUAAAAAGAGGCCAACAUUGUUUAUUUUAAAUAUAUCUUCAUGAUAGAGCAAGAUUUUUUCCAUGUGUGACUCUAAGAUCAUAAAAUGAGGUGACAUUGGUAUGACAAUUAGAAAUGUUAAAAAAUACAAAUAAAAAUUUAUAUAUGUAGUUUGGCAUAUCGGGUUGAAUAAAAGGUAAUUACAUGAUGUUAAAAUUAAGUCUAUAUCAAUUACUUAUGUUAAUUAAUUUUAAUAAAAAGUGGAAAUAUUGCAAAUACAAAUAGAAAUGAAUGUAGAAAAUAAGUUUUUUUAAAUAGUUUAAGAAAAUUAAUAUUAUAUAUUUAAUUCAAUGUGAUAAAAUAUUUAGGAAUUAAAAACUGAAAUCAAUGUGGCCGAUAUGAUAAGAGUUUUUUUUUUUUUUUUUUUUUUAAUUUGAAAUGUGAAGAUAUUUUAUAAGAUAUUGAGUUGAUUAAGAAAUAGAAAUAAAUAAUACAAUGGGAUAUUUUGAGAAAAAUAAGUUCAUAACAUUUUAUUCUUAAAAAAUAUGUAAAAAGGAAAUUAAGUAAUAUAUAUAUAUACAAUUUUACUAUUAAUAAACCUCAUCACCAUUGCAUUAAUAUCUACAUUGUUUUUUUUUUAACUCUUCAUUUUUAUUAUGCAUUUAUACUUAAAAAUCAAUAAAAGCAUAUAAAAAAAAUAUUUAAAAUCUAAUAAUAUAUUUUAAAAAAAAUAUAGAAAAUAAUGUUUAGGUAAAUGAGGGAAUAGAAUAAUUAGUAAAUAAAUUUCUUUUCACUUAACUCCUUCCGAUUCUAAACAGAUGCUUAAUUUCUUGGUACUUUUAUAUGUAGGAUAGAAUAUAGAUAUAAAUAUAAAUAUAGAUUAUUUCACCAACCUCUAGUUUGAAAAUAAAUAUUUUUAAUUAAUUUCUCUAUAAAAGUCAAAUAACAUUUUUCCCAUUUCUUAAUAUUUUUCUAAUGGAAAAUAAGCCAAAAGGAUCUGAAAUCAAAAUCAAGUAAUCAAAUAUGCAAAAAGUCUAGUUAGACCGCAAUGCUUACCAUAUUUUAAAAGCUGGUAAUAAUUCUGACAGCCUAAAAUUUCUAGAUUUAGUAAGUUCACUUGAUAAAAAUAAUGUCUGUGCUCAUGACAAGGCAUAUUAAAUCUGGCACACAAUCCCCCCAAGUCUAAUCACAACCAUUGGUAAUGAAUUCAUAAUCUUAUUCGUGUAUGUAUGAUAUUACUUGGAGAGAACAAAUUUGAAAUGCCAAAAUGCGACACAUCAGGCGUGACCAAAUCAGCAGAUUGAUAAGAAAAGGGAAACAAAUUAAUACAUUCAAAAUUUGACACAUUCCGUGUUAGAAGUUACUAGAAAGGAAAACACGUUAUGAACAAAAAUCAUCAUGAAAUUUUGUGGUGUCAGCCGAAAAGGACCGUGUGUAAGGAGUCAACGGAUGUCUGGAAGUAUCCAUGUAGCAUCGCUACCCACGCACAAAGCAACCGCGUUGAUUUUAAGCCUGAUACCGCGGCCUCAGUCGUGUUCUUCCUCAUUAAAGAACUACACCUGCGCCCUGGAGUGCUUGAAAUUAUCCUCACCUCUUCGGCUCUUCACACCAUUCCCGGCUCUAUAUAUAUUCGCAUUCAUCUCUCCUAAUUUCAUCGAAUCCCAUCUACGCAUCUUUCUCUUUUUGUCCACUGCGUACUUGUUUGUCUGUUGUAGUCUUAUACCAUGGCUGACGUUGAGAAACAAACAUUGAAUAAAGGCUACUAUGGCCCCUCAAUUCCUCCAAAAUCACGAUCCUACCACAGCCACGGCCGAGGCAGCGGAUGCGGCUGUUGCUGCUGCCUCCUAGGCUUUUUGCUCAAACUCAUUGUCACCGUCGUUAUCAUCGUAGGGAUUGCAGUCCUCCUCUUCUGGCUCAUAGUCCGUCCCAACAAGGUUAAGUUCCAUGUGGUUGAUGCCUCCCUCACCGAGUUCAACCUUACCAGCGACAACAUCCUUCAGUAUAACCUUACCGUCAAUAUGACCGUCCGCAACCCCAACAAGCGUAUUGGUAUAUACUUUGAUCGCAUCGAAGCCAAGGCGUACUAUGAGGACGCCUUGUUCGAUUCUGUUGAGUUGGAACGAUAUUACCAGGGCCACAAGUCAACUCAUACCCUGAAUCCAGAGUUUACUGGGGAGAACUCUGUAUCGCUUGGAGCAUCCGAGCUUUCGAAUUUCAAUUCGGAGAAGGCUUCAGGAACUUACAGUAUUGAUGUGAAGCUGCGUCUUCGGAUCAGGUUCAAGUUGGGAAUAUUGAAGAUUGGUACGUUCAAGCCCAAGGUUACUUGUGAUUUGAAGGUUCCUUUGGAUUCUGAUGGGACAAGCAGUGGUACUUUCCAAACCACCAAGUGCGACGUUAAUUUCUGAUCAUCUGAUUCAGGCUCCUGCUCGCCUUCCUGGCUCUUUGAUCCACUUCGUUGUUGAUUUCUUUGAUUUGCAUAUUAUUCUUUUGUUUGUGGGUACACAUAGCAUCACAUAUCGUUUUCUUUCCAUUUCCCUCCCUUUUGUAGGGAUGGUUUAGACGUGAUCAUGUUGGUUUCUUCUUGUUCAUAGAUUAUGCCAUUUUUGGUUAUGUAUAUGUUAUGUUAUAUUUAUGAGUUUCGUUAUAAUUUUUAUUUUUUUCGGUUAAUCUUCGCUGCAUUUUUCAAUUUGGUAUACACGCUGGGGCAAAUUUUAAUUAUUUGGUGAACUGCUUCUUUGGUUCGUCGGUGAAAUAUAAGUGGACGAAUUUAUUAAUAAAACCUGACUUUGUUCUUAUACGUUACAUGGAGAACGAUGCCAAGUGCUCCUACGAUCAACUCGAACGAAUGAUGCGUGACUGAUUCAAUGUGACCACGCGUGGGCAUUGUGUCGGUGAAAUGCAACAAUCUAUAAUCUAUUCAGAUAAGAAUGCUGGGGGGCCAUAGAAGGGUCUCGCAGAUGACAUCUAAUCAAGCCUCCUGCUUUGUCCAAAAAAUUUAACAUUUAUAAUUGAAAAAGGAAAUUUAUGUAAAAGAUUUCAAGUUUAGAGUUUAAAAUUUACGUAAAAGAUAUUAUUUUCCUUUAAUUAUAUUUUUAAAUGCUAAAAGAAGUUUUGAAGCUUUAAUCAUCUUUUUCGAUUAUUCAAGGGGGUUUUUCCUUAUUUGUAAUUUUAAAUAAUUUAUAUAAUUAUUAAUUAUUGUAAAGCUUACGUUUUCAUAUUAUUUCUCAUUAUUAAACACUAUUUUCUCUAGAUUAUAUUUUUAAAGUUGAAAAUUGAUAUUGGUUAAAAGAAGUUUUUGAAUAUUCGAUGUUAUUUAUUUUUAUAAAAAUUUUAAAUAAUUUAUUAUGUAUUAUUAUAUAAUAUCAUGGGUUGUUGGUUUAGAAAACCACUGUACAUUUCAAAUUUGAGAACUUUGUUGUCGUUUUUCAUUUUUUCGUACGUUUCACACGUGCGCUUCAGAUUCCAGAACAUGGACUUAUUUUUUAUUUUUAAAACCAAAAAUUUCUAUAUAAAAAAUAUAAACUUAGUUAAUUUUCUAUUUUCAUUUUUAUAUUAUAUAACAGCGGGUGGGAGUGGAAAUGUGAUUUGACUUGCACAGCCAGACUAAGGAAAAAAAAAAGGUUCCAAGAAAAAUCUGGCUUCAUAUGGGAAACUUAGGUUUUAGGUUAUCAAUAUCAAAACAAUAGUAUAUCAUACCCCAGGUUUGCCAAUUUCAAGUUUACGAUGCUAACCUCAAAAAUAUUUUGAGUCUCAUGCACUUUGGACUGAGUUGUUUUUUAAUUCCCAAAAUGCCCCCCUCCUUCGAUCAAGUCAACCUCCACAAAGUUUAAAAAAAAAAUAAAAGAUUAAAAAUAAAAAACAACUUAAUAGCAGAAACCUUCCUUCUUCGUUUAUUUCUAUAUGUAAACCCUCAGUUCACUUUUCCUUCUUAUCUUCUUUAUUUCCUCAUUCCUUUAUACACAUCUAACUAGUAUAAACCAUAACGGAAAACCAUAGUCAUUUUCUUCAUUUUUCCUCCUAGUGUGUGAUAUGGUAGAAGUUGUGCAUUCUUGGGUGCCUCUGCCUACCACCACCGCCACCCACCACCAUCUCCUCACAUCUCAUCCUUUUCACCUCUCUCACUCGACUUCCUCUUUCUUUAUGCCUCUAUCAUUCUCAUCCCAGGUACUCUCUCUCACUCUUUGUUUUUAUAUGUAUAUGAUUUGAACGAUAGUGAUCGAGGGAUUUUUCUUUUAAAUUUUUUAUUGCUUGAGAAUGAUUUCAUAAUUUAUUGUAAUUCUAAGGCUUUCUUAUUGAUUUUUGUUUUUUUUCCAUGCCAACAUGCUUCAACUUGAUUGGGCUUAUCUAAAAUUUUUAGCUUUCAUGUGCUCAAUUGCUGAGAAAUUUGUUGAAAUUGAAAGGAAAUAUAAAGUUUUGACAUUUUUAGGGAUUGAGUUGGGUGAAAGUGAAUGACUGAGUUUAUCUUUGUCGAAUAGUUGUCCAUACAUCACUAAACUAAUAUUUUGAUCGGAAUCAUUGAGCUAAUUGUUAUUGUGUUAAUUAAAUGAAGGAUUAAGCUAUUUUCCAAAUGUUAAGCUUGUAGGAAAAUUUUACAUCUUGUCUUUGUUUUUUUCUUUUUUGUCUUAUGUGAUGCUUUGUCAAGAGGAUAUUUUAGGGAAAUGAUUUUCUACAAGUGAAUGAGAAUCAAUGGAAAAUACACUUUUCACUUAUCUAAUCAAUCAAAUAUAACUUAAAGGUUUAGAUUUUAUUUUAUUUUCUAUUCUUUUCCUUGGUAUCUUAGCAAAUAAAUAGAGAAUUAGGAAGAUUCUUUUGAUAGAUUUGUUUUUCCCAUGACUAAGGUGUGGUUUGAUGCACUUCCGAUUUUUCAUUUUUAAAAUAUAGAAUAAUAGCAACUUUAUAUAAAGUUUAGGAACUCUAAUACAAAAUAAAUAAAUAAAUAAUUUAUUUUAUAUUUUAGGUUCCUUAAACUGAUUAUUUGUUUUAAUGCUUCUUAAUCUAAAUUGUUGUUCCUGCAUUUUAAAUAAGAAAGGUAUACAAGUUGAUUUUUUUUUAAUGAAAUUAAGAUUUGAAAUAGAUUAAUGUUGCAGUUACCAAAAAAUUGAGCAUUACAUGUCCAAUCAUGGUCCUUAUUUUGUGCAUGCAUUCCCCUAAAGGAGAAAUUUCUUUCACUUACACCUUUCAAGUUAGCAAAUAGAUUGUCAUUGCUUAAGCAAGGAACAAAUGGAGUUGCCUUCUCCAAUCACCGGGGUUUUUUUCUAUUGUGGAUUGAGUUCCUUUUCCCAAAUUCUUAUUAUUGAUAAUGGUAAUGAAGUUUAUAACUUGUAGAAAAUAAGUAGAGUUAUUCAGUGCUCUUCUUUACCAACGUGUCUUGCUAGGUCCUUCUAGUUGCAUGUUUUUUAAUGCAUAUUUUGUUCUUAAAACUGAAAACAAAAGAACAAUAUUAUGGUACAGUUAAGUUUUUGGAAACCAAAAAUGUUGAAGGCUAGUAAAAUAAAAAUAGGGACAAGUUCGCUAGAAUCUGACCAAAGGCAACAUCUUUCUAUGUGCUUUGACAAACUUAUGACAAACAUAAAUCUAAACUUGGACUCAAAAAACAGGGACAAGUUCGCUAGAAUCUGACCAAAUUCAAGAACGAAUUCUGCAACAAAUAAAUUGUGACAUCUUUCAUACAACAACAACAAUUUUAUGCUAGCAAGAGGCAUUGUUCAUUAUUGAAGUGCUUAAAACAACCUAGUUUUGAACAGACUGCCUCCACUGAGUCCAAUUUAGUUGCAAUGGGAAGAACAUUCAUAAGAGUUCGCAAACAGAAAUUGGAAAAAUUCUAAGGGGUAGAUAUGUUUUCAAAUUUUAAAGAAAAAUACAACUAGAUUAUGUUAAUUUACAUUAUCUACUAAGAAGAUAUGUAUGAAGAAUUUUUAAUACAUUAAAAAAAAUAAAAUUGAUAGAUAAAAUAAACUUGUCAUGAGAAUCCUCAUGCUCCUACAACUUUGAAGCAAAUUUGAACAUUUUUUUUUCACAAAUUAAGUAACUAAGAUUCACAAAUGAAGUUUUGAAAGUUCACAUAGGUAGUACCCAAGUUUCACUAAGGUAGUACCCAAGUUUCACUAAGGUAGUACCUAAGGUUAAGUAAGCUAGUACCUAAGGUUCCUAAAAUACUAAGAUGAUGUCCAAUAAGGUAAAAACAUCUUUUUUAAUGUCCAUUAUGGGGGUCUUAAUUGGCCUAAUGGAGUCCAAUAUAGUAGGGCCCCUCUGCUUGUGAGAGGGAAUCCAAUCACAGUUGUUCAAUAUGCUAAUUAGAAUUUGAAAGGGGCACAUCGGUUUUUAAAACCUAGGCUUUUGAAAAGCAAAACCUGGGCCUAAAUGGUUUGUCUAGACUAAAACUAGACCAUUUUAGUUGGAUCCUGUCUUAAUUACUCACAACCACACCAUAUAGUUGGUAAAAGAUACAUGUUUCCAUGUUGAUCCAGCCCUGAAAAAAAUAUUUCCUUCAAUUUUAUUCAAGAAAUAAAGUACUAGGAAUUUUCAGUAAUACAUGCAACAAUUAUUCUUCAAGAUGAAACUUGCCUUUAUUGUUGUGAAAUAGACAACUAAACAAACCAUUGGUAUAUAUAUAUAUAUAUAUAUACCAAUGGAAAAAAAAUCUCCUCAGAAUAAAAGCUUACUCCAUACAUACACUCUUUAUACAGGACAAGCAUGUACAUGCUCAACUCACUUCACUCUUACAAAAAUUUCAGUACUGCUUCUUUCCAAUAUAGAAAAAUGUGAUUCAAGAAAAUACCUGCUCAAAGCUUAAAAAAUAUAAAGUCAUAGAGAAGAAAAAAAAUAAACCAAAUUCUUGACAAAAUUAUUGACUUUUACUUGUCCAAAAAUUCUACCAUUCCUUGUCUUCCAAAUUAUCCAAAUCAAAGUGAGGCUCACCAAUUACCAAAUAAUUCUAUCUUUAGGGAGUCUCCCAAAUUCCUUAAAAAAGAUAGUCAUCCUAUUUGUCAAAAUUCUGAGAAGCCUACCCUAUCACAGCUAUGCAAACAACUUCUACCAAAGCCCUAAAGAAAAUAGGCAAUGAAGAAAGUUAUAACCAAUUGAUUCACCAUGCCACAAGCACAUAAAACAUAAUUUGAACAUAAAACUUUAUAGGGCUUGCUCACCUAUAGCUUCUUGUUGGUAUUGCUUAUUUGCCACUGACCAUACAAAAGGCUUUUGCUUUAGGUGGGGAUGUAGAUUUCCAAAUGAAACUAGCUGGAAAAAAAAAAAAAAAAACGAGUUCAAGGUUUCAAAAAAGAGCUAAGAAAAAUGAACCGUUAGAAAACAAGCUUGAAGAGACCAAAAACUAAACCUUAAGAAAGGUGAACCUAGUGGCCAAUGAUAUUAAUCACAUAAUCUCAAAUGUGCCAUACAUCAUAUAUCAUUGAAUUUUACAAAGCAAGAUUACAAAUAAUUAACAAAAUGCAAAAGGAUGUAAGUCUUUAAAGCAAACUGGAGCAACAAUUAUAACAUGCUAAGAGAAUAACAGAAAAAAAUAGAUGAACUUUGAUAACUUAACGUGUACUUUUUCGUAAGAUUUGGAAGUCACAGGUUUGACUCUUGGACAUAUAUACCAUGAAGAGUACCAGUAUCAUGAAACACAAAUUUUCUCAUUGUUAAUCUAAAACAGAAGCAACUACAUCAAAAAUUCAAUAGAAGUUAAAAAGUUCUCAAUAUAUAUACCUAAGAUUUAUUGUGACUAUAAUAUAUAUAUAUAUGCAUGCACAUCUAUUUCCUUGUAUGGAAGACAUGCUUCUAUUAAUUCAUGGAUGACAUAUCCAAAGACAGACUCUUUUUAUUAGCCAAAUCUAUGAUCUUAAAAUUCAAGGUCUAGAAUAACCUAGCUAGUAGACAAAUGGCCACUCUAAUACCUAAACAACGUAAUGAUAAAGUGAAGGAAAUGGUUUGCAUAGAGCAAAGAAGGUUUUCUCAUCCAGUGAAACAAUAGGAUUGUGUAUUGUGAGGCUUAAGCUUCUUAUUCAUAAUUAUUUAAAUAAAUAGACUCACAGGUAGCAAUCAUAAGAGUCGAAUGUGUUUGCUUUGCUAAUCAUUUCACAAAUGCAAAAGCUAAACAUCUUAUUCAAAAUCACAUGCAUCAGGUUAUUGUUAUAUUUAUGGAAAUGACUAAUGAGUAGUAAAAGCACCCAUCUCCAAGUGCUCAAGGUGCUUUCACCUUUACUAGGUAAAGUAGAAGAGAAAAGCGCUCAACAUGUGAGAGUAUAGAAAGACCCAACAAAAAAUAAAAAUGAAAAACACAAGUUGAAGAUCAGCCAAUAAACACAACUUUUUUUAGAGCUACUAAAUUUUGACCAUUUGAUUAUAAAAAAAGAUAUGAAUUAUAUACCAGCUAUGUGGGCAACUUAGAAAUUUUUGAUAUAAUGAAAAUGGUAUAGAUAGACUCCAUGUGAACAAGAAAUUGUAGCAUUAUUCUGACAAUAAUGAAAAUUCCUUCUAACUCCAGUUUCCAUCUUAUUUAUGAUUGCCAAGCAAAUGUGGGAAAAUAAAAGUAAAUAAAAAACUCUGAAUCUUAGAACUUUUUUUUUCCAUAGAAAUAUUUAGAAUGAAAAUUUUCCACUCAACUUGACCAAAUUCAAGUAUUUAUUCAUAAAAACUAUAUAAUUGGAAAUUUAUUUUCCUCAAAUUUUGAUAGGAAUCGCAAUAAAAAGAAGAAUUUCUCAACAAAAAUUUAUAAAAAAAGCUGUAAAAUUGAAAUUUUAUUUUCCUUAAAUUUCAAUAGAAAUAGCAAUAUAAAAAAAGAAUUUCUUAACAAAAAUAUAUAGAAAAAUACAUAAAAAGACGACAUUCUCUAAAACAUACAUACAUAUAUGUGCUAAAAUAGACAUGAACAUAGGAAACCUAACCUUAAUCAAACACCAAAAUCUUGUGAUUUUGACAUCCAAAUCCUAAUACCAAAACCUUAAUUCUAAACCUCAGUAUUAUGAUUUCCACAACAAUGGAAGAAAAAUAAACAUACAAACCCC
rnacentral:lncRNA from 1 species